ACCCUGUGUCUAGCUCAGGGUUUGUGAAUGCACCAAUUGACACUCUGUAUCUAGCUAAUCUGGUGGGGACGUGGAGAAACUUUGUGUCUAGCUCAGGGAUUGUAAACGCACCAGUCAGCGCCCUGUCAAAACAGACCACUCGCUCUAUCAAUCAGCAGGAUGUGGGUGGGGCCAGAUAAGAGAAUAAAAGCAGGCUGCCCGAGCCAGCAGUGGCAAACAAUUUCUUUGGAAUAGAUACCCAGUGGUGGACUUGUGUGAUCAUUAAAUAGGAAUGUACUUAAUGGCUCUCAGAGGUGCAUUCUCACCAGUGGAGUAUAAGGAUUUCUACAUCCUUGCUUACUUAGGCAGGACAUUUUUAAAAAUUGUUUUUAACAGUGGAAUUCACCACACAUGCCUAUAUACAAAUAGAGACCAAAAUAUGAAAUUUAAAUUUAAAAAAAUCAUAAUAAAAAGUAUAUUUUUGUUUCACAUGAUGGGUUAAUUAAACAAGAAUACAUCUGAAGAAAUUUUGACACAUUAAGUUAUUUAUGUACAUUGACAUAUUUGGUGAUUUAAAAGCUCUGAAGUUAGAAAAUAUAGUUACAGUGCACACUUAAAACUACAGAAGCUGGAAAGCUAAACAACUUGUUUAACCUGACACAGUUAAAAAUUUUUAGGUCUGAGCCUGGAGCCCACAUCUUGUGUUUUUGUUUUAGUUUGUUUUAUUUUAUACUUUGGUUUUUUUUACCAUGUUGCCAAAUGAGAUAGGCAAAGAGAAGAGUUGG
rnacentral:lncRNA from 1 species